CCUACGGUGUGCAGCAAUGAGGAAUAUUGGUCAAUGGCCGGAAGGCUGAACCAGCCAAGCCGCGUGAAGGACGAAGGUGCCAAGCAUUGUAAACUUCUUUUGUCAAGGGACAAACUCAGGCUCGCGAGCCUUACCGAGGGUACUUUACGAACAAGCAUCGGCUCACUCCGUUCUAGCAGCCGCGGUAAUCCGGAGGAUUCGAGCGUUAUCCGGAUUUAUUGGGUUUAAAGGGUGCGUAGGCGGACUGUUAAGUCAGCGGUAAAAGCCCGGGGCUCAACCCCGGCGAGCCGUUGAAACUGGCUGUCUUGAGAUGGCGAGAGGUAUGCGGAAUGCGCAGUGGAGCGGUGAAAUGCUUAGAUAUUGCGCAGAACUCCGAUUGCGAAGGCAGCAUACCGGCGGCGAUCUGACGCUGAGGCACGAAAGCGUGGGUAUCGAACAGGAUUAGAUACCCGUGUAGUC
rnacentral:rRNA from 1 species